GGCCCAGACUCCUACGGGAGGCAGCAGUGGGGAAUAUUGCACAAUGGGCGCAAGCCUGAUGCAGCGACGCCGCGUGAGGGAUGACGGCCUUCGGGUUGUAAACCUCUUUCAGUAGGGAAGAAGCGAAAGUGACGGUACCUGCAGAAGAAGCGCCGGCUAACUACGUGCCAGCAGCCGCGGUAAUACGUAGGGCGCAAGCGUUAUCCGGAAUUAUUGGGCGUAAAGAGCUCGUAGGCGGUUUGUCGCGUCUGCCGUGAAAGUCCGGGGCUCAACUCCGGAUCUGCGGUGGGUACGGGCAGACUANAGUGAUGUAGGGGAGACUGGAAUUCCUGGUGUAGCGGUGAAAUGCGCAGAUAUCAAGAGGAACACCGAUGGCGAAGGCAGGUCUCUGGGCAUUAACUGACGCUGAGGAGCGAAAGCAUGGGGAGCGAACAGGAUUAGAUACCCUGGUAGUCCAUGCCGUAAACGUUGGGCACUANGUGUGGGGGACAUUCCACGUUUUCCGCGCCGUAGCUAACGCAUUAAGUGCCCCGCCUGGNGAGUACGG
rnacentral:rRNA from 1 species